GUCCUCACCAGAGAGAGCCUUAGAGCUUCCAAGGGAUUAACGCACAUUCUGCCUUUGUCACCUAUCAGCAGGUAGUUGUCGAGAUUACAGGAUUAAGGAGCACCAUGAAGGGUCUUCUGUUUUCACCAGACCUGCAUCAAGAAGUCACUGGAGAGUAGCCAUAAAGUUAUUAAUCUAUACCGACAUCCUCUUCUUUUCCAGAAAGUUCUAGGUGAGCAAGAUGUCAAGUACCGGAAGCAUAGAUACACCAGAAGACGUGCAGGAAUGUACAGUGACUCAAACCAGAGGAAUUUCCAUGAGUGGACGUCCUUUCACAACAAGCAAGAUUCCUGUGUGGUCGUUGUUGCUGUCACCUGGGUACCCGGAGGAACAUGUUAAUCCCAGACAGGAAUGAUGUCAUCCAGUGUUUAUAAAGUGCAUUCCAGCCCCAGACAACCGUCUUCCACCUGUGACUCCCUUUACAGAGGACUGUACUUCCUGCCAACUGGGCUGCGGUGCCCUGCCUCCGGGCUCUCCGCACUCACCCUUGCCUGGCAGGUCUGGAAGGACUCAGGGCUAUUUGGUUCUUGGAGCGACCCUUUGACUGCAUCUUCUCACCACCACCUCCUCAGCGGUUAUUUUAGUCAAGCGUUAUAACCAGGAUGAAGGUGUGUGCCUGGAUUUCAGGUCACCUUUCACCCUGAGCUGGGAAGCCAACUCACACCUGCCAUCCUAGGCCACCGAUGCUGUGCGCCCUCUCACCUGGUCUGUGCGUCAAGUUACCUGAGAACAGGAAGCCCCGAACCCCUCCCUCUCCUCCCUGCCACCUGCUAACUAAUGAGUGACAUCAUUUAGCACUGUUUUGAAACGAGGGAUUUGAAGUUGUUUUGGAAACUGAAGGAGAAAUACAAAUGUUUGCAUGUUAAACAUUUCGCCCAAAUGCUAGAAUGUGAGUGUCUCUUUAUUGUGACAGUUCUGGGGGAGAGUAAGCUCCAGGUUGUCAGUGAGCAUCCUCGCACAGGGGUUUGACACUCGGCAUGGCAGUGGGAGGCAGCUUAAAAAUAGUUUAAAGAAAGAGAAGUGUUCAAGGCUUUUCUAACCGUCUCGGGUCAACAGUCUGCCUUCUAGUUUAGUGUUUUAGUGAAAAUGAAAUUCUACCCAUAUGCAUCCUAUAAUGGUUAUGUAUUGUCUCCAAGCAUCCAAUGUAUGUUUCCGAUAGGAAGUUUGUAAGGAAUAGAGGUAUAAAUAACAAUGAAAAAUUACAACUCAUAGGGAUAAUCAUGCAUAAUAAAUACUGUAAGUGUGUUCUCAUACUCUUUCCAGGCAUAUGUAUUGUUACAGUCUAAUGCUUAAAAAUAAGAAUGUGGAGAGAGAGAGAGAGAGAGAGAGAGAGAGAGAGAGAGAGAGAGAGAGUAAAGAUGCCAAAGCUGGUAACAUGAAUUUGAUUCCUGGAACACACAUGGAGGAAGAAGAGAGAUGUUUCUGAUGAAUUGUCUUCUGCUCUCUAUACCUACCAUGUAGCAUAUAUGUACACACACACACACACACACACACACACACAGAAAGAGAGAGAGAGAGUUAAAUAAGUUAAUUAAUUAAUAAAAUUUGGAGGAAUAUUUUAAAUGGAAGUUGUAUUCUGUAUUAUUCUUAGAAUUACAAUUUUCAAAGGAGGCAUUUGUAUUGCCUUUAUUUUUCUUCAUUACAUGAGCAUGUAUAUUCAUUAUUAGGAAAAUAAAAAAAAAACGCAAAAAAGAUGAGAAAAUAAAAGCCAGCAG
rnacentral:lncRNA from 1 species